rnacentral:rRNA from 1 species
GGACUACCAGGGUUUCUAAUCCGUUUUGCUCCCCACGCUUUCGUGCCUCAAUGUCAGUGGCAGAAUAGUCAACUGCCUUCGCCGUUAUUGGUGUUCAUCUAUAUAUCGUCACAUUUUACCGCUCCACAUAGAGUUCCGUCAACUUCUCCUGCACUCUAGUUUGAUAGUAUUAGCGACUUCCACGAGGUUGAGCCUCGAUUUCCCACCGCUAACUUAUUAAACCAUCUACGCACCCUUUACGCCCAAUAAUUCCGGAUAACGUUCGCCACCUAUGUCUUACCGCGGCGGCUGGCAC